rnacentral:rRNA from 1 species
GACGAACGCUGGCGGCGUGCCUAACACAUGCAAGUCGAGCGGGGUUGAAGCGAGGGGUAACUCGAGUUUCUACCUAGCGGCGGACGGGUGAGUAACGCGUGGGCAACCUGCCUCAAGGACUGGGAUAACAGCUCGAAAGGGCUGCUAAUACCGGAUAAGCCCAUGGCCUCGCAUGGGGCCAUGAGCAAAGGGGAAACCCGCCUUGAGAUGGGCCCGCGUCCCAUCAGCUAGUUGGUGAGGUGAAGGCUCACCAAGGCGACGACGGGUAGCCGGCCUGAGAGGGUGACCGGCCACACUGGGACUGAGACACGGCCCAGACUCCUACGGGGGGCAGCAGUGGGGAAUCUUGCACAAUGGGCGAAAGCCUGAUGCAGCGACGCCGCGUGAGCGAAGAAGGCCUCGGUGUAAGCUCUGUCUGAGGGACGAAGGAAGUGACGGUACCUCCGGAGGAAGCCACGGCUAACUACGUGCCAGCAGCCGCGGUAAACGUAGCGUG